rnacentral:rRNA from 1 species
UAGAGUUUGAUCAUGGCUCAGAAUGAACGCUGGCGGCGUGCUUAACACAUGCAAGUCGAACGAGAAAGCCGAAAGCUUGCUUUUGGCGAGUAGAGUGGCGCACGGGUGAGUAACGCGUGGGUAAUCUACCUUCGAGACGGGGAUAACACUUCGAAAGGGGUGCUAAUACCGGAUGACAUCGAUUUUGUUCCGGCAGGAUCGAUCAAAGAUGGCCUCUCCAUGGAAGCUGUUGUUCGGAGAUGAGCCCGCGUCCCAUUAGCUGGUUGGUGGGGUAAAGGCCUACCAAGGCGACGAUGGGUAGCUGGUCUGAGAGGAUGAUCAGCCACACUGGCACUGACACACGGGCCAGACUCCUACGGGAGGCAGCAGUGAGGAAUUUUGCGCAAUGGGGGUAACCCUGACGCAGCAACGCCGCGUGAGUGAAGAAGGCCUUCGGGUCGUAAAGCUCUGUCAAGUGGGAAGAACCCGCAUCAGGCCAACAGGCUGAUGCGCUGACGGUACCACUGAAGGAAGCACCGGCUAACUCCGUGCCAGCAGCCGCGGUAAUACGGAGGGUGCAAGCGUUAUUCGGAAUUACUGGGCGUAAAGGGCGCGCAGGCGGCCGGAUAAGUCAGUAGUGAAAGCCCGGGGCUCAACCCCGGAAGUGCUGCUGAAACUAUUUGGCUUGAGUAUGGUAGAGGGAAGUGGAAUUCCUGGUGUAGCGGUGAAAUGCGUAGAUAUCAGGAGGAACACCGGUGGCGAAGGCGGCUUCCUGGACCAAUACUGACGCUGAGGCGCGAAGGCGUGGGUAGCAAACAGGAUUAGAUACCCUGGUAGUCCACGCAGUAAACGGUGAUCACUAGGUGUUGCGGGUAUUGAUACCGGCAGUGCCGAAGCUAACGCAUUAAGUGAUCCGCCUGGGGAGUACGGUCGCAAGAUUAAAACUCAAAGGAAUUGACGGGGGCCCGCACAAGCGGUGGAGCAUGUGGUUUAAUUCGACGCAACGCGAAGAACCUUACCUGGGUUUGACAUCUGGGGGAUUUUUAUGAAAAUAGGAAGUGCCCUUCGGGGAGCCCCAAGACAGGCGCUGCAUGGCUGUCGUCAGCUCGUGUCGUGAGAUGUUGGGUUAAGUCCCGCAACGAGCGCAACCCUUGUCUUUAGUUGCCAGUAUUCAGUUAGGAACUCUAAAGAGACUGCCUCGGUUAACGGGGAGGAAGGUGGGGAUGACGUCAAGUCCUCAUGGCCUUUAUACCCAGGGCCACACACGUGCUACAAUGGGCUGUACAACGGGUUGCUAUCCCGCGAGGAGGCGCUAAUCCCAAAAAGCAGCUCUCAGUUCGGAUUGAAGUCUGCAACUCGACUUCAUGAAGGUGGAAUCGCUAGUAAUCGUUGAUCAGCAUGCCACGGUGAAUACGUUCCCGGGCCUUGUACACACCGCCCGUCACACCACGAAAGUCGACUGUACCAGAAGUUACUGGGCUAACCCUUCGGGGGAGCAGGUACCUAAGGUACGGCCGGUAAUUGGGGUGAAGUCGUAACAAGGUA